ACUCCAGCCUUUGAAAGGCUUGAUGUGCCUGUUCAGCAACAAUGCGGUCAGAGCCAAGUGUGUCAGGCGUGUAAUGGAAUCGAGAAUCUCAAAUCUUGGCGACCAUCAUCUAACAAAAUUUGACAUGGAACCAAAAAGGAAGUAACAGGAUGAACGACCAAAGAGAGAGAAUUCUAGGACCCAGCAG